AAUGCCAAGAAGAAUGCUAUUUAUGCAAUACACAUAGAAUAUGGACCUUAUCCAGCUGCGACCCGUAUGGAUUAUAUAGCUGAGUUUACGGUGACAAUGCCUAUUUUGAGUCUAACCGGAACUAGUGAUAGUUUACCUAAUGGAGAGCAUGUUGUUCAGGUUUACUGUGUCCAAACACAGGCUAUUCAGCAAUAUGCAUUGGAUUUGUCACAGUGCCUACCACC
rnacentral:misc_RNA from 1 species